AGUCGAACGAAGGCCCUAGCUUGCUAGGUGUCCUUAGUGGCGCACGGGUGAGUAACACGUGGGAACAUACCUCAUAGUACGGAAUAACUGCGGGAAACUGUAGCUAAUACCGUAUAUUCCAGAAAUGGGAAAGAUUUAUCGCUAUGAGAUUGGCCCGCGCAAGAUUAGCUUGUUGGUAAGGUAACGGCUUACCAAGGCUCCGAUCUUUAGCUGGUUUGAGAGGAUGAUCAGCCACACUGGGACUGAGACACGGCCCAGACUCCUACGGGAGGCAGCAGUAGGGAAUAUUGGACAAUGGGGGAAACCCUGAUCCAGCAAUGCAGCGUGAGUGACGAAGGCCUUAGGGUUGUAAAACUCUUUCAUCGGUGAGGAUAAUGACAGUAGCCGAAGAAGAAGGACCGGCUAAUUCCGUGCCAGCAGCCGCGGUAAUACGGAAGGUCCUAGCGUUGUUCGGAAUUACUGGGCGUAAAGCGCAUGUAGGCGGAACAAAAAGUUAGAAGUGAAAUCCCUGGGCUCAACCUAGGAAUUGCUUUUAAAACUUUUGUUCUGGAAUUCAGGAGAGGAAAAUGGAAUUUCCAGUGUAGAGGUGAAAUUCGUAGAUAUUGGAAGGAACACCAGUGGCGAAGGCGAUUUUCUGGACUGAUAUUGACGCUGAGAUGCGAAGGCAUGGGUAGCAAACGGGAUUAGAUACCCCGGUAGUCCAUGCAGUAAACGAUGGGUGCUAGUCGUCGG
rnacentral:rRNA from 1 species